rnacentral:rRNA from 1 species
GGUGAAAAGAACCCCUGUUAGGGGAGUGAAAUAGUACCUGAAACCGUGUGCUUACAAGCACUCGGAGCUCCGCUUCGGCGGGGUGACGGGGUGCCUUUUGCUUAAUGAGCCGGCUAGUUAUUUUGCGCGGCCAGGUUAAUCCUGAAACAGGAGGAGCCGGAGCGAAAGCGAGUCCGAACAGGGCGUUAAGUCGCGUAAAAUAGACGCGAAGGUGGGUGAUCUACCCUUGGCCAGGAUGAACUCCGGGUAACACCGGAGGGAGGUCCGAACCGAUGUUGGUUGAAAACAGCUCGGAUGAGCUGAGGGUAGGGGUGAAAGGCUAAUCAAACUCACGGAUAGCUCGUUCUCUCCGAAAUAGCUUUAGGGCUAGCCUCGCAUGAAUGGUAAGGGAGGUAGAGCACUGGAUGGCCUAGGGGGCCGAAAGGCCUUCCAAAUCCAACCAAACUCCGAAUUCCCUUAACCACUGUGCGGGAGUAAGACUGCGGGCACUAAGGUUCGUGGUCAAAAGGGAAACAGCCCAGAUCGUCAGCUAAGGUCCCUAAAUGCAAGCUAAGUGGGCAAGGAUGUGAGGAUACAUAGACAACCAGGAUGUUGGCUUAGAAGCAGCCAUCAUUUAAAGAAAGCGUAACAGCUCACUGGUCAAGCGUUCUUGCGCCGACAAUGUAACGGGGCUUAAGCCUGUUACCGAAGCUGCGGACUGUUGGAGCCUUCGGGCUUCAACUUUGGUAGGAGAGCAUUCUCACUCGAGCGAAGCCGCGUCGCGAGGCGCGGUGGACGGAUGAGAAGAGACCCUGCCGGCAUGAGUAGCGAUAACUGCGGUAGAAACCCGCAGCGCCGAAAAUCUAAGGUUUCCUGGGGAAGGUCAGUCCGCUCAGGGUUAGUCGGUCCCUAAGGCGAGGCCGAAUGGCGUAGCCGAUGGAGAGCAGGUCAACAUUCCUGCACCGCCUGAGAGACGUUAUACGAUGGGGGGACGCAGAAGGAUAAGCAUACGCACGUCUGGAAGUGUGCGGCCGCCAGGUAGGGGGAGCCUCUAGGCAAAUCCGGAGGCUCUUAACCCCGAGCACGGCGGGGAAGCUUGGCUACGGCCUUGCCAACUUGCUGAUUCCAUGCUGCCAAGAAAAUCCUCUAAGGAGUUUUUCAGGCGACCGUACCGGAAACCGACACAGGUA